AUUGAACGCUGGCGGAAUGCUUUACACAUGCAAGUCGAGCGGCGGCACGGGGGCAGCCCUGGUGGCGAGUGGCGAACGGGUGAGUAAUACAUCGGAACGUGCCCGGUCGUGGGGGAUAACGUAGCGAAAGUUACGCUAAUACCGCAUACGAUCUGAGGAUGAAAGCGGGGGACCUUCGGGCCUCGCGCGAUCGGAGCAGCCGAUGUCAGAUUAGGUAGUUGGUGGGGUAAAGGCCUACCAAGCCGACGAUCUGUAGCUGGUCUGAGAGGACGACCAGCCACACUGGGACUGAGACACGGCCCAGACUCCUACGGGAGGCAGCAGUGGGGAAUUUUGGACAAUGGGCGCAAGCCUGAUCCAGCCAUUCCGCGUGCAGGACGAAGGCCUUCGGGUUGUAAACUGCUUUUGUACGGAACGAAAAGGCUCUGGCUAAUACCUGGGGCUCAUGACGGUACCGUAAGAAUAAGCACCGGCUAACUACGUG
rnacentral:rRNA from 1 species